CAGCGGAGCUCCAAGUGGCUUUUCCUCACAGGGGUUUGUGGGACAGAGGGCAGUGUCCACUUGGUGGUUUCUGGACCUCGUCAGAGAGUUGACGUCCUCCGGCUUCCAUUGGCUGAAGAUGAUGAAACCAAUCCAGAACGUCUCAAAUUUAAACAGCGUUGGAUGGAAAGUCAAACACAGAGGCACCCCCCCUCCACCCCAAGAGCUUGGAGUAAACGCUGGGACACAUGAAGGAUGGGGAGGCAGAUAACGGGCUCCCGAGCAUCCGAAGACACUACGCAGAGAGGACAGGCUGGACAUGAAAGCAUCCUUCAGGGGACCAGAUGGAGCCCUUUUCCAAGAAGACCAGGCCCCCCGAGACCAUAAGUCACUGAUAUAAUCUGCUCUGUUUCUGUAGAGAACGGAAAAAUGUAAUGUGAUAAGAUUCAUUAGACUGCAAAGAAGA